UUUCAUAGAAAAGUAAUUGGUGCCAGCAUGGAAGAAGUUUUUUCAUGAGGGUUAAAAGGGAAACAGGUGUGAAUCCUGUACGAACUCGUCACUGUGAUUAGGGAGUGCAGCUAUUAAGAAGUUUCAACCACUGAUGUAGUUACAUUGGGAAGGGAAUAGCUGUAUGAUGAUCUUUCAGCCAGGAAACCUGCCAGUUAUUUGGUACAAGA
rnacentral:ncRNA from 2 species